rnacentral:rRNA from 1 species
CGCGUGGGAAUCUACCUAGUAGUUGGGGACAACCUGGUGAAACCAGGCUAAUACCGAAUACGCCUACGGGGAAAGAUAGCCUCUUCUUGAAAGACUUUCGUCUAUUAGAUGAGCCCGCGUUGGAUUAGCUAGUUGGUGGGGUAAAGGGCCCACCAAGGCGACGAUCCAUAGCUGGUCUGAGAGGAUGAUCAGCCACACUGGGACUGAGACACGGCCCAGACUCCUACGGGAGGCAGCAGUGGGGAAUAUUGGACAAUGGGCGGCAAGCCUGAUCCAGCCAUGCCGCGUGAGUGAUGAAGG